rnacentral:rRNA from 1 species
UAGUGGCGAACGGGUGAGUAACACGUGAGUAACCUGCCCCCGACUUUGGGAUAAGCCCGGGAAACUGGGUCUAAUACCGGAUAUGACUUCUUACCGCAUGGUGGGUUGUUGAAAGAUUUAUCGGUGGGGGAUGGACUCGCGGCCUAUCAGCUUGUUGGUGAGGUAAUGGCUCACCAAGGCGACGACGGGUAGCCGGCCUGAGAGGGUGACCGGCCACACUGGGACUGAGACACGGCCCAGACUCCUACGGGAGGCAGCAGUGGGGAAUAUUGCACAAUGGGCGAAAGCCUGAUGCAGCGACGCCGCGUGAGGGAUGACGGCCUUCGGGUUGUAAACCUCUUUCAGUAGGGAAGAAGCGAAAGUGACGGUACCUGCAGAAGAAGCGCCGGCUAACUACGUGCCAGCAGCCGCGGUAAUACGUAGGGCGCAAGCGUUAUCCGGAUUUAUUGGGCGUAAAGAGCUCGUANGCGGUUUGUCGCGUCUGCCGUGAAAGUCCGAGGCUCAACCUCGGAUCUGCGGUGGGUACGGGCAGACUAGAGUGAUGUAGGGGAGACUGGAAUUCCUGGUGUAGCGGUGAAAUGCGCAGAUAUCAGGAGGAACACCGAUGGCGAAGGCAGGUCUCUGGGCAUUUACUGACGCUGAGGAGCGAAAGCAUGGGGAGCGAACAGGAUUAGAUACCCUGGUAGUCCAUGCCGUAAACGUUGGGCACUAGGUGUGGGGGCACAUUCCACGUUUUCCGCGCCGUAGCUAACGCAUUAAGUGCCCCGCCUGGGGAGUACGGCCGCAAGGCUAAAACUCAAAGGAAUUGACGGGGGCCCGCACAAGCGGCGGAGCAUGCGGAUUAAUUCGAUGCAACGCGAAGAACCUUACCAAAGCUUGACAUGUGCCAGACCGCCUCAGAGAUGGGGUUUCCCUUCGGGGCUGGGUCACAAGGUGGUGCAUGGUUGUCGUCAGCUCGUGUCGUGAGAUGUUGGGUUAAGUCCCGCAACGAGCGCAACCCUCGUUCCAUGUUGCCAGCACCCUAGUUGGUGGGGACUCAUGGGAGACUGCCGGGGUCAACUCGGAGGAAGGUGGGGAUGACGUCAAAUCAUCAUGCCCCUUAUGUCUUGGGCUUCACGCAUGCUACAAUGGCCGGUACAAUGGGUUGCGAUACUGUGAGGUGGAGCUAAUCCCUAAAAGCCGGUCUCAGUUCGGAUUGGGGUCUGCAACUCGACCCCAUGAAGUCGGAGUCGCUAGUAAUCGCAGAUCAGCAACGCUGCGGUGAAUACGUUCCCGGGCCUUGUACACACCGCCCGUCAAGUCACGAAAGUUGGUA